AACAUCACGAUGCUGCCAGGGCCCAAAGCUGAGAUUUUUCCGGAAAGAAAAGAUUGAUGUCCACCAAUGGGCGUGCUUGUGCCGAAAGAUAUGUGGGCUCUUCUUUGCCACUCCACCCACCCCAUCAGAUAUCAGAGAGAGGGAGGAUAAAGUCUUUGGAGGUGCGAGGUGGCCGACCGCAGGCGUCGCUGCACUGUUGAUGUUUGGUCCUUGUAGGUUGUGGCUUGGGCUCUCCAUCCUCUUUCCCGGGACCAACGGCACAGUUGACUUUCCAGGGCUUAUCUGUCGGCUCACGUCUUGAUCUCGACAUUGUCGGCGACGGAUCUAAGUUGUCGUUAGUUUCUAGAUCAGUUACUGUGUGUGAGAGAGAUCAGAAUUUAUUCUGCUGCUCUGUCUCCAGAAAAAACAGGACUCUGACGCGUUGCAGGUUUGUUUCCUUGCUUUCUCAAUUUCAACGGCGGUUUUAAAUCAAACAUGAGAUUUGAAUCAGUGAGAAAAGUUCGUUGUGGAAAAAUGGGGGUUUAGAAGAGAAGAGGAAUUUCAAGUUAGAACAGGGAGGUCAGCACCAUUCCGCGGCUUGCAGCUGUCCAUCUCCAUCUUCUGCCACGGGCGCCAUUGGAUCACCCCUCAAAUUCAAUCUCAAAUAGUGCUAGUGGUAGCUGGAGUGGUUAGUACGUAGAAGCUUGGCACUCAAAUAGUGCUAGUGGUUGUCCUAGAGCAUCUACAAAUGUAAAACCUAGUCUGCAGGCCUCUACAAUUUUGCGUCCUCAACAAACAAAUGUAAAGCAUUCAACAUCAAGCUCUAGCUCAAAGUAGAACAUGAACAACCCUAACAUGCCACCCAUUCUAGGGCAUCAUCCUCAGAAACUUCCUGCUCCCAGCUCAGUCACUAGGCAACAGCAACAGCAGCCAAAACAGCAACCUUCUGAGGCUCAGCUCUUCUUUUCUAAUCCUCAUUUGCAACAGGUUGAGUAUGCUCGAUCCAAUGCUUCUGCUGCUCAAUACUAUCAGAAGAGGCCAGUUUAACAUACAAGCCAAACUCAACAACAGCAG